UGCUAGUUGUACGAGUUCACACUCGUAGCAAAUAGCUCCGUAACACGUGGCCAAACUACCCUACAGAGAACGAUAACCUCGGGAAACUGAGGCUAAUAGUUCAUACCCGUCUCACGCUGGAAUGCCGAGACGCCCAAACGCUCACGCGCUGGAGGACGUGGCUGCGGCCGAUUAGGUAGACGGUGGGGUAACGGCCCACCGUGCCGAUAAUCGGUACGGGUUGUGAGAGCAAGAACCCGGAGACGGAAUCUGAGACAAGAUUCCGGGCCCUACGGGGCGCAGCAGGCGCGAAACCUUUACACUGCACGCAAGUGCGAUAAGGGGACCCCGAGUGCGAGGGCAUACAGUCCUCGCUUUUCAGUACCGUAGGGAGGUACUGGAAUAAGAGCUGGGCAAGACCGGUGCCAGCCGCCGCGGUAAUACCGGCAGCUCGAGUGAUGGCCGAUUUUAUUGGGCCUAAAGCGUCCGUAGCCGGCCGAGCAAGUUCAUCGGGAAAUCCGCCAGCCCAACUGGCGGGCGUCCGGUGAAAACUGUUCGGCUUGGGACCGGAAGACCCGAAGGGUACGUCUUGGGUAGGAGUGAAAUCCCGUAAUCCUGGACGGACCGCCGAUGGCGAAAGCACUUCGGGAAGACGGAUCCGACGGUGAGGGACGAAAGCCAGGGUCUCGAACCGGAUUAGAUACCCGGGUAGUCCUGGCCGUAAACGAUGUCUGCUAGGUGUGACUCCCACUACGAGUGGGUGUUGUGCCGUAGGGAAGCCGCUAAGCAGACCGCCUGGGAAGUACGUCCGCAAGGAUGAAACUUAAAGGAAUUGGCGGGGGAGCACUACAACCGGAGGAGCCUGCGGUUUAAUUGGACUCAACGCCGGACAUCUCACCAGCAUCGACAGCAGCAAUGACGACCAGGUUGAUGACCUUGUCAGAGCUGCUGAGAGGAGGUGCAUGGCCGCCGUCAGCUCGUACCGUGAGGCGUCCUGUUAAGUCAGGCAACGAGCGAGACCCGCACUCCUAAUUGCCAGCACCGGGUUCGCCCGGGUGGGUACAUUAGGAGGACUGCCGUGGCCAA
rnacentral:rRNA from 1 species